UUAUCAUUUGGAGUUCUCCUCAAAUCACUUCACUCGCUAGCUUCUGCCUGAUUGUUGCAUUGGCACUAUUUCAAAAGUGCGCUUUGCAUGGAUAGGAGUAUGCAUAGUGAAGUGUUUGGGGGAACUCUGGGUGGCUA
rnacentral:pre_miRNA from 1 species